rnacentral:rRNA from 1 species
CACGUAGGGCGCGAGCGUUGUCCGGAAUUAUUGGGCGUAAAGAGCUCGUAGGCGGCCUGUUGCGUCCGCUGUGAAAGCCCGGGGCUUAACCCCGGGUCGGCAGUGGAUACGGGCAGGCUAGAGGUAGGUAGGGGAGAAUGGAAUUCCUGGUGUAGCGGUGGAAUGCGCAGAUAUCAGGAGGAACACCAAUGACGAAGGCAGAUCUCUGGGCCGUAACUGACGCUGAGGAGCGAAAGCAUGGGGAGCGAACAGG